UACGUAGGGUGCAAGCGUUUGUCCGGAAUUAUUGGGCGUAAAGAGCUCGUAGGCGGUUUGUUGCGUCGGCUGUGAAAUCCCGAGGCUCAACCUCGGGUCUGCAGUCGAUACGAGCAAACUAGAGUGUUGCAGGGGAGACUGGAAUUCCUGGUGUAGCGGUGAAAUGCGCAGAUAUCAGGAGGAACACCGGUGGCGAAGGCGGGUCUCUGGGCUGACACUGACGCUCAUGCACGAAAGCGUGGGGAGCAAACAGG
rnacentral:rRNA from 1 species